ACCUCUUUUUUUCCUUGGAGUGAUUGACACUUUAUUGGUUAAUAUAUGCAGAGAUAGGUUUCUGGAUUAAUAGCUUUGCAAUUAGGAUUGGAAUUAAGUUUGUGUGAAAAGUUGAAGUUACAUGCUUUCUGAGUUUCUGUUUCUAUUAGAAGCAAGAAUAAUUGCUUAAGGGCUUCUUUGCUAUUCUUUUGAUAUAUAUAUUGGAAACUAGCUAAUGUAUUUGCUUUCUCCUUGAUCAGCUAUUGAUUUUUUGCUUUCUUUUGUUUGUGUUCUAUGAAAUUUCCCCUGCUGAAACAUAUGGAACACCAACCAUUUGCAGAAAAAAUGAAUUUGAAAUGAAGAAGGGAGCAACGCGGGGCUGCAAGGCUGAGUUUAAAGCUAAGAGGAAGCAAGCGGAGGAAGAGGUUUCUCAACUUUCUGCUAAGCUUAAGGAGAAACAUACCAAAGAGCUGGUUGUAUAAGGCUAUAGCUGCAGUGAAACUCAUUCAAUUUGAUUUCAAACAUCAGAAAGAUUGAAAGAUUGGAGCUCUUCCCCUUGAUCUUCUAAUGAAGAUAGCAAUGUCUUGCAUGCUUCCACUUGCUGAAUCCGCGCUACUCUUUAAGAGGCUUUGUGUACUACCAAAUGAGAUAAAUCUCUAUUGAUGAUUGUAUGUGAAGUUUCUUGGAAGAUUGAGAUUCUUAAACUGGGGAAGGUGCAGUAACAUGUGAAGCUUAAUCUCCAAUAGACUGUUAGCACAUAACCUUAAAGAUUAAUCAUUUUUUGUGACUUAUUAAUUAUAGAGCAUUUACUACUCAUUGUAUAGGCUGGUGAGUGUGUCGUUUUUGUACUCACACUGAUGGAUUUGAUCAGAUAACAGUGCCAAAAAACAAGGGUCAUGGACAUACACACAUAUUUAUUGGUUAUAGAAAAUGAAGUUUGGUGAUGUAGGUCAUACUCUACUAAUAAAAAAAAUCCACCAAGAUUGUGAUUUGGAGAUCUAAGUCAAUUCAAUGGAUGUGUUGUUGUUUUCUUCAAGGUUUUUACUGAAUAAUAGUUAGAUGAUUCAGAGGAUAAACAUUAAUUUGAGGAGAAAAAUGGUGAUGUUAAUAUAGAUUUUAGAUAGAAUCCAGAUGAGGGGGGCGUGAUUGCUUCAACAAGGAAGUUGUCCGUUAUUAGAAGAGGA